rnacentral:ribozyme from 1 species
CGGAUGGGCCGGGAGAGCUGAAGUUUGCUGAGAUCUUCAACUAUCACGAGCAGACGACGGGGGGUCGUGAAUGUG